rnacentral:rRNA from 1 species
CCUACGGGAGGCAGCAGUGGGGAAUAUUGCACAAUGGGGGAAACCCUGAUGCAGCGACGCCGCGUGAGUGAAGAAGUAAUUCGUUAUGUAAAGCUCUAUCAGCAGGGAAGAAAAUGACGGUACCUGAGUAAGAAGCCCCGGCUAACUACGUGCCAGCAGCCGCGGUAAGACGGAGGGGGCAAGCGUUAUCCGGAUUUACUGGGGGUAAAGGGAGCGUAGACGGCAGUGAAAGUCUGGAGUGAAAGGCGGGGGCUCAACCCCCGGACUGCUCUGGAAACUGUACGGCUGGAGUGCAGGAGAGGUAAGUGGAAUUCCUGGUGUAGCGGUGAAAUGCGUAGAUAUUAGGAGGAACACCAGUGGCGAAGGCGGCUUACUGGACUGUAACUGACGUUGAGGCUCGAAAGCGUGGGGAGCAAACAGGAUUAGAUACCCGGGUAGUC